rnacentral:rRNA from 1 species
UCCUACGGGGGGCAGCAGUCGAGAAUUUUUCACAAUGGGCGAAAGCCUGAUGGAGCGACGCCGCGUGGGGGAUGAAUGGCUUCGGCCCGUAAACCCCUGUCAUUCGCGAUCAAACCUUAUUAUUUAAAAGAUGAUAAGCUGAUAGUAGCGGAAGAGGAAGGGACGGCUAACUCUGUGCCAGCAGCCGCGGUAAUACAGAGGUCCCGAGCGUUGUUCGGAUUCACUGGGCGUAAAGGGUGCGUAGGUGGUGAGGUGUGUCGGAUGUGAAAUCUCGGAGCUCAACUCCGAAAUGGCAUUGGAAACUACCUUGCUUGAGGGUUGGAGGGGGGACUGGAAUACUUGGUGUAGCAGUGAAAUGCGUAGAUAUCAAGUGGAACACCAGUGGCGAAGGCGAGUCCCUGGACAACUCCUGACACUGAGGCACGAAAGCUAGGGGAGCAAACAGGAUUAGAUACCCCGGUAG